UUAAGGCGCUUGAGAGAACUCAGGAGAAGGAACUCGGCAAAUUGACACCGUAACUUCGGAAGAAGGUGUGCCUUUAGUAGGUGAAGUCCCUCGCGGAUGGAGCCCAAUGAGGUUGCAAAAAAUCGGUGGCUGCGACUGUUUAUUAAAAACACAGCACUCUGCAAACACGAAAGUGGACGUAUAGGGUGUGACGCCUGCCCGGUGCUGGAAGAUUAAAUGAUGGGGUGCAAGCUCUUGAUUGAAGUCCCAGUAAACGGCGGCCGUAACUAUAACGGUCCUAAGGUAGCGAAAUUCCUUGUCGGGUAAGUUCCGACCUGCACGAAUGGCGUAACGAUGGCCACACUGUCUCCUCCUGAGACUCAGCGAAGUUGAAAUGUUUGUGAUGAUGCAAUCUCCCCGCGGAAAGACGGAAAGACCCCAUGAACCUUUACUGUAGCUUUGUAUUGGACUUUGAACAGAUCUGUGUAGGAUAGGUGGGAGGCUUUGAAGCAGGGUCGCUAGAUCUUGUGGAGCCAACGUUGAAAUACCACCCUGGUGUGUUUGAGGUUCUAACCUAGGCCCGUAAUCCGGGUUGGGGACAGUGCAUGGUAGGCAGUUUGACUGGGGCGGUCUCCUCCCAAAGUGUAACGGAGGAGUUCGAAGGUACGCUAGUUACGGUCGGACAUCGUGACGAUAGUGCAAUGGCAUAAGCGUGCUUAACUGCGAGACUGACAAGUCGAGCAGAUGCGAAAGCAGGACAUAGUGAUCCGGUGGUUCUGUAUGGAAGGGCCAUCGCUCAACGGAUAAAAGGUACUCUGGGGAUAACAGGCUGAUACCGCCCAAGAGUUCAUAUCGACGGCGGUGUUUGGCACCUCGAUGUCGGCUCAUCUCAUCCUGGGGCUGUAGCCGGUCCCAAGGGUAUGGCUGUUCGCCAUUUAAAGAGGUACGUGAGCUGGGUUUAAAACGUCGUGAGACAGUUUGGUCCCUAUCUUCCGUGGGCGCUGCAGAUUUGAGGAAGCCUGCUCCUAGUACGAGAGGACCGGAGUGGACGCACCUCUGGUGUAUCGGUUGUCACGCCAGUGGCAUUGCCGAGUAGCUAUGUGCGGAAGAGAUAACCGCUGAAAGCAUCUAAGCGGGAAACUCGUUUCAAGAUGAGAUCUGCCGGGGCCUUGAGCCCCCUGAAGAGUCGUUCAAGACCAGGACGUUGAUAGGUCGGGUGUGGAAGCGCAGUAAUGCGUUAAGCUAACCGAUACUAAUUGCUCGUGCGGCUUGAUC
rnacentral:rRNA from 1 species